rnacentral:lncRNA from 1 species
ACAUGUUACAGGGAAAAUGAACUUAUCAGGCUUUGAACUUAAUUACUAGUAAAAAACAUAAAACUAUUUGAAAAAUAGGCAAUCGUUCAUCAAUAACAGUAGCACCAACAAGAGAAUGUAUUCCCCAACAAUCAAAGUCCUUAAAUAAAAACUACAUGAGCUAAUAAUUAAUCAACUCGUGACUGUAAAUUGUGAAACUUUCUUGACAAACACAUAGAAGGACAAUCACAUCUUGUGCAACUUUUUUAUAAGACUUGUACCUGAAAAUAAAAAAAACAUGACAAAUCACACAAAAUGGACAUUUUUGUUUUUCACUAUCAGGUGAUUCAUAUACUAUCAUGCUACUAUAUCAUGUCAGAGUACCACAUCUGUAAGUUACCUAAUAAAAAAAAAAGGCUACAUAAUUAUAUUUGGAUCGCAGAACGGACAUAACCCAUAUCAUUUUCACAGCACAAAAUUAUUGGGAAUGCACUGCAUCAAAUAUUUAAUAUGGUUUAGUUAAGCCUCCUCCAUAGAACUUCCACCUUAGUGUAAACUCACGAUCCUAUCUCUACACCCUUUUUUUCUUCUUUUUAUUUCAUUACGUUUCACUGUCCAUCAAAUAAAUGAACACUAUUAUACUUUGGUCAUCACCCGUCAGGUAAUUGACCUUUUAAUUUUAUUGAACCCUAAUCACUAGUUCAAAAUAUUUAAGUCCAAGUUAAUAGUAGCACGCCCAUCACCCUCGUAUAUGUCAAUCUAAUUUGUUUAACCCACUUCCGAUAUGGAUUAAAUUGGGGUGUGACUAUCACACUCUGCACUACAUCACAGAAUCUCUCUUUUACCAUUCGGCUGCAACCCACGGGACCACCACAUACAAAGAAAUUAUUUAUAAGCCAAAACCACUAAUAGAUUAAAGACAACCCUCAAUAGUUUCAUUAAAACCCAAAAGCUUCAUUAUUAAUACUGAACAACUUUAAUUAUCUUAAUGCUAAUAACGAUCCUAUUAUUAUAUUGACCUCAAAACUCAACCCGCCCCAGUUGAUCUGACUCGUUGUUUGGGAUUUCCAACACAAUUUGAUCAAUUCCUACAGGUGCAAAUGACCGAUGGUAGUUCACCUCGUGAGAGAUUAUUGCUCGUGUAACUCGCAAAACCUAUUUCUACCGUCGGCCUCAACCUUCUCCUUCUCAACAUCGGCUUCACAACGGAUACUGGAAAUCAGCCCCACAUAAAUCCGACAAGUUGGCCAAACUCCUAUCUUUGUGAUUCUAGUUCUUAGUUCAUUGUUGCAACCAACGCUGCCAAACUGAUCACAACUACCGAUCAAAACCAAACAAGGCACAUGAAAUGACCAAAGGAAGUAGAACAAAAGGUCAGUGACAAUAAGUACAAGAUUCACGAAAAGUGGAUAGUUAAACCCCAAGAUGAUGAAAGAAUACGGCCAGUGAUCUCAAAAUUACACAGCAUCGCCAUCCGAUUACGAUGUGAAUUCAGGCGAACAAAUUUGCAACAGAAAUCAUAAGUCGAGGAAUCAGAAGUUAUGGAUAAGAAUAAGUUCAUAUAUCCAAAUCUCAUAGAAAGUUGAUCUUUCGAUACUAAAAGUUUGGGAUAAUAGGGGAGAGAAAGAGCGUCACCGUCGAAGGAGAGGAAGAGAGAAAUGGAUUCGUCAAUAGGGGACGCCGCAACCGCCUUCCCG